rnacentral:rRNA from 1 species
UACGAAAGGGGUAAGCGUUGUUCGGAUUUACUGGGCGUAAAGGGCACGCAGGCGGUCUUGCCAGUCAGGGGUGAAAGCCCGGGGCUCAACCCCGGAACUGCCUCUGAUACUGCAGGACUAGAGACUAGGAGAGGGUGGUGGAAUUCCCAGUGUAGAGGUGAAAUUCGUAGAUAUUGGGAGGAACACCAGAGGCGAAGGCGGCCACCUGGACUAGAUCUGACGCUCAGGUGCGAAAGCGUGGGGAGCAAACAGG